rnacentral:rRNA from 1 species
GGUAAAGCUACCAAGAGCGCACGGCGAAUGCCUUGGUACGAGCAGCCGAUGAAGGACGCGUUAAGCGGCGAUACGCCACGGGGAGUUGCAAUAUAGCCAUGAUCCGUGGGAUUCCGAAUGGGGCAACCCCACCGAAUGAAGUUCGGUGACCGCCACCUGAAUACAUAGGGUGUCGGAGGCAAGCCAGGGAACUGAAACAUCUUAGUACCUGGAAGAAAAGAAACCAAAUCAGGGAUUCCCCUAGUAGCGGCGAGCGAACGGGGAUGAGCCUAAACCGGUCACAUGUCAUAGCGUGUAGGCGUUGUGUGGUCGGGGUCAUGGGAACGCGAAGUGGAUCUACAUGUCCACAAAGGAGUUACAAAACCUUAGCUAGUAGAACACAGCUGGAAAGCUGGGCCAUAGAGAGUGAUAGCCUCGUAGACGAAAGCGAAAGGUCUCCUUCGAUGUCUCCCGAGUAGUACGGUGCACGUGAAAUACCGUAUGAAUUUGCGAGGACCAUCUCGUAAGGCUAAAUACUGCUCGUAACCGAUAGUGAACUAGUACGGUGACGGAAAGGCGAAAAGAACAGUGGAAAGCUGAGUGAAAUAGAACCUGAAACCGUGUGCUUACAAGCUGUCAGAGCCCUAUUAAUAGGGUGAUGGCGUGCCUGUUGAAGAAUGAGCCAGCGAGUUAACAUCAGUAGUUGGUUAAGGGGUUGAUACCUGGAGCCAAAGCGAAAGCGAGUCUGAAUAGGGCGAUUUUAAUUACUGGUGUUAGACCCGAACCCGGGUGAUCUAACCAUGACCAGCGUGAAGCGUAGGUAACACUACGUGGAGGUGCGAACCUUUGAAUGUUGAAAAAUUCCUGGAUGAGUUGUGGUUAGGGGUGAAAUGCCAAUCGAACCCGGAGCUAGCUGGUUCUCCCCGAAAUGCGUUGAGGCACAGCGUCGGAUUUAUCUUACUGGGGGUAGAGCACUGAUUCGGUGCGGGCCCUAGAACGGGGUACCAAAUCGAGACAAACUCCGAAUACCAGUAAUGUCACUGUCCGGCAGUGAGACUACGUGAGAUAAGUUGCGUGGUCAAGAGGGAAACAGCCCAGACCAUCUGUUAAGGUCCCAAAAUUAGUGCUAAGUGGUUAACGAGGUGUUGUUCCUUAGACAACCAGGAUGUUGGCUUAGAAGCAGCCACCAUUGAAAGAGUGCGUAAUAGCUCACUGGUCAAGGGAUAAUGCGCGGAAAAUAAUCGGGACUAAAGCACUAUACCGAAGCAAUGGCAGGUAGACGAUGAGUCUAUCUGGGUAGGGGAGCGUUCUGUUGUAGGUUGAAGUAUGACCGUAAGGACAUAUGGACGAAGCAGAAGUGAGAAUGCUGGCUUGAGUAGCGAAAACAUUGGUGAGAAUCCAAUGCACCGAAAACCUAAGGUUUCCCACGGUAGGCUCGUCCGCGUGGGGUUAGCCGGAGCCUAAGAUGAGGCCGAAAGGCGUAGUCGAUGGACAUCAGGUUGAUAUUCCUGAGCUAUGGUGUAGUCGUUAUUGAGCUGCGGAGGGACGCAGGAGGUUAUGUUCGCCAGCGACUGGAUGUGCUGGUCUAAGCGUGUAGCUAGUUCGAGUAGGUAAAUCCGCUCGGGCGUUAAGACGUGAGGCGCGAUGGGGAAGGUCUACGGACCUGUAGGAACAGACACCACACUGCCGAGAAAAGCUUCGCAAGUGAGACUACAUCGUAUCCGUACCGUAAUCCGCCACAGGUGGGUAGGUAGAGAAUACCAAGGUGCGCGAGAUAACCCUCUCUAAGGAACUCGGCAAAAUAGCCUCGUAACUUCGGGAGAAGAGGUACCCUGGUACCGUGUAAGCGAUUCAGCUGAAGCGGGAUAGGGUUGCAGCGAAUAGUCCCAGGCGACUGUUUACCAAAAACACAGGUCUCUGCUAAGUCGUAAGACGAUGUAUAGGGGCUGACGCCUGCCCGGUGUCGGAAGGUUACGGGGACCGGUUAGCCGCAAGGCGAAGCUGGGAACCUAAGCCCCGAUGAACGGCGGCCGUAACUAUAACGGUCCUAAGGUAGCGAAAUUCCUUGUCAGGUAAGUUCUGACCCGCACGAAUGGCGUAACGAUCUGGGAGCUGUCUCGGAGAGGGACUCGGCGAAAUAUGAAUGGCUGUGAAGAUACGGCCUACGCAUGCCAGGACAGAAAGACCCUAUUGAGCUUUACUCUAACUUGUCAUUGAAACUUGACUUUGGUCGCGCAGGAUAGGUGGGAGGCUUUGAUCUAUAGAUUCCGGUCUAUAGGGAGCCAUCCUUGAGAUACCACUCUUCCAAAGUUGGGUUUCUAACGGUUGACCGCAAAGAUCCGGUGACCGGACAGUGGCAGGCGGGGAGUUUGACUGGGGCGGUCGCCUCCUAAAAUGUAGCGGAGGCGCCCAAAGGUGCGCUCAGGCCGGAUGGAAAUCGGCCAAAGAGUGUAAAGGCAGAAGCGCGCUUGACUGUGAGACCUACAAGUCGAACAGAGACGAAAGUCGGGCUUAGUGAUCCUGCGGUUCCGAAUGGAAGGGCCGUGGCUCAUCGGACAAAAGUUACCAUAGGGAUAACAGGCUGAUCUCCCCCAAGAGUCCACAUCGACGGGGAGGUUUGGCA